rnacentral:rRNA from 1 species
CCUACGGGGGGCUGCAGUGGGGAAUAUUGGACAAUGGGGGCAACCCUGAUCCAGCCAUGCCGCGUGUGUGAAGAAGGCCCUCGGGUUGUAAAGCACUUUCAGUGAGGAAGAACGCCUGGUGGUUAAUACCCAUCAGGAAAGACAUCACUCACAGAAGAAGCACCGGCUAACUCCGUGCCAGCAGCCGCGGUAAUACGGAGGGUGCGAGCGUUAAUCGGAAUUACUGGGCGUAAAGCGCGCGUAGGUGGCUUGAUAAGCCGGUUGUGAAAGCCCCGGGCUCAACCUGGGAACGGCAUCCGGAACUGUCAAGCUAGAGUGCAGGAGAGGAAGGUAGAAUUCCCGAUGUAGCGGUGAAAUGCGUAGAGAUCGGGAGGAAUACCAGUGGCGAAGGCGGCCUUCUGGACUGACACUGACACUGAGGUGCGAAAGCGUGGGUAGCAAACAGGAUUAGAUACCCCGGUAGUC